rnacentral:rRNA from 1 species
UACGUAGGUGGCAAGCAUUGUCCGGAAUUAUUGGGCGUAAAGCGCGCGCAGGCGGUGCGUUAAGUCGGAUGUGAAAUGCGACGGCUCAACCGUAGAGCUGCAUCCGAAACUGGCGGACUUGAGUGCAGGAGAGGGGAGUGGUAUUCCCGGUGUAGCGGUGGAAUGCGUAGAGAUCGGGAGGAACCCCAGUGGCGAAGGCGACUCUCUGGCCUGUAACUGACGCUGAGGCGCGAAAGCGUUGGGAGCAAACAGG